CUGUUUGGCCCCCAUUACCUGAAAAUGGUAAUGGGGAGAAUAGUAUUUUUUAGAAAAAUGAGUGGUUGAAAAGAAGGUAAAGUUUUCGAUUUACGUGUAAUAUUAUUUUUUAUUGAAGAUUGUAUGGUUGAAAAUAGAGGAGAGAAAAAUGAAAUGUAAUGUAAUUUAAUUUAAUGUUAAUCAAACAGGGGCUUAAUGGGAUCAAACGAGGGCUAAUUUUCAACAAAGUUUAAUUUUCAAUUGGCUCUUGUUCCCACGCACCCCCUCCUCUCUCUCUCUCUCUAUCCACAAUCAAAUCGGUAUAGUGAAACCCUGAUUCCAUUCCAAUCCAUCUCCUCGCAACUUAAAAUCAAACCUGUCGCUAUAUUAUUUCCAGAUCUUUUACUUUUUCCAUCUCUAGCGCACAGAAGUUAUAUAUU
rnacentral:lncRNA from 1 species